GAUGAACGCUAGCUACAGGCUUAACACAUGCAAGUCGAGGGGCAGCAUGGAAGUUUGCUUGCAAACUUCCGAUGGCGACCGGCGCACGGGUGAGUAACACGUAUCCAACCUGCCGUCUACUCUUGGCCAGCCUUCUGAAAGGAAGAUUAAUCCAGGAUGGGAUCAUGAGUUCACAUGUCCGCAUGAUUAAAGGUAUUUUCCGGUAGACGAUGGGGAUGCGUUCCAUUAGAUAGUAGGCGGGGUAACGGCCCACCUAGUCAACGAUGGAUAGGGGUUCUGAGAGGAAGGUCCCCCACAUUGGAACUGAGACACGGUCCAA
rnacentral:rRNA from 1 species